rnacentral:rRNA from 1 species
GAUGAACGCUGGCGGCGUGCCUAAUACAUGCAAGUCGAGCGAACAGACGAGGAGCUUGCUCCUCUGACGUUAGCGGCGGACGGGUGAGUAACACGUGGAUAACCUACCUAUAAGACUGGGAUAACUUCGGGAAACCGGAGCUAAUACCGGAUAAUAUAUUGAACCGCAUGGUUCAAUAGUGAAAGACGGUUUUGCUGUCACUUAUAGAUGGAUCCGCGCCGCAUUAGCUAGUUGGUAAGGUAACGGCUUACCAAGGCGACGAUGCGUAGCCGACCUGAGAGGGUGAUCGGCCACACUGGAACGUGGACACGGUCAAGACUCCUACGGGAGGCAGCAGUAGGGAAUCUGCCGCAAUGGGCGAAAGCCUGACGGAGCAACGCCGCGUGAGUGAUGAAGGUCUUCGGAUCGUAAAACUCUGUUAUUAGGGAAGAACAAAUGUGUAAGUAACUAUGCACGUCUUGACGGUACCUAAUCAGAAAGCCACGGCUAACUACGUG